AUUGAACGCUGGCGGCAUGCUUUACACAUGCAAGUCGAACGGCAGCGCGGGCUUCGGCCUGGCGGCGAGUGGCGAACGGGUGAGUAAUACAUCGGAACGUGCCCAGUAGUGGGGGAUAGCUCGGCGAAAGCCGGAUUAAUACCGCAUACGACCUGAGGGUGAAAGCGGGGGAUCUUCGGACCUCGCGCUAUUGGAGCGGCCGAUGGCAGAUUAGCUAGUUGGUGGGGUAAAGGCCUACCAAGGCGACGAUCUGUAGCUGGUCUGAGAGGACGACCAGCCACACUGGGACUGAGACACGGCCCAGACUCCUACGGGAGGCAGCAGUGGGGAAUUUUGGACAAUGGGCGAAAGCCUGAUCCAGCAAUGCCGCGUGUGUGAUGGAGGCCUUCGGGUUGUAAAGCACUUUUGGCGGGAACGAAAAGGACUGUGCAAAUACCACGGUUCGAUGACGGUACCCGCAGAAUAAGCACCGGCUAACUACGUG
rnacentral:rRNA from 1 species